rnacentral:rRNA from 1 species
GAUGAACGCUGGCGGCGUGCCUAAUACAUGCAAGUCGAGCGAACAGAUAAGGAGCUUGCUCCUUUGACGUUAGCGGCGGACGGGUGAGUAACACGUGGGUAACCUACCUAUAAGACUGGGAUAACUUCGGGAAACCGGAGCUAAUACCGGAUAACAUUUGGAACCGCAUGGUUCUAAAGUGAAAGAUGGUUUUGCUAUCACUUAUAGAUGGACACGCGCCGUAUUAGCUAGUUGGUAAGGUAACGGCUUACCAAGGCGAGGAUACGUAGCCGACCGGGAAGGGGGAUCGGCCACACUGGAACUGAGACACGGUCCAGACUCCUACGGGAGGCAGCAGUAGGGAAUCGUCUGCAGUGGGCGGAAGCCUGACGGAGCAAAGCCGCGUGAGUGAUGAAGGGUUUCGGCGCGUAAAACUCUGUUAUUAGGGAAGAACAAACGUGUAAGUAACUGUGCACGUCUUGACGGUACCUAAUCAGAAAGCCACGGCUAACUACGUGCCAGCCGCCGCCGUAA